UACGGGGGGGGGCAAGCGUUGUUCGGAAUUACUGGGCGUAAAGGCUCGUAGGCGGCCAACUAAGUCGGAUGUGAAAUCCCCAGGCUCAACUUGGGAACUGCAUCCGAUACUGGAUGGCUUGAAUCCGGGAGAGGGAUGCAGAAUUCCAGGUGUAGCGGUGAAAUGCGUAGAUAUCUGGAGGAAUACCGGUGGCGAAGGCGGCAUCCUGGACCGGCAUUGACGCUGAUGAGCGAAAGCUAGGGGAGCAAACGGG
rnacentral:rRNA from 1 species